rnacentral:lncRNA from 1 species
UGCAGUCAAACCACAUCAGCUCCCAUUUUGCAAGUGAGGAAAUCAAGACUCAGAGGGGUGAGGUUGCUUGCUUGGGAUUGCACGGAUCAGUCGGUGGUAGAGUUACGAUCCAAAUCCAGGCUUUAGUUGCCUGCUUCCAGUUCUUUCCACGUGGCUCUAGGAACCAGCAUUAACAGCCUGAGGCCGUGGAGCAUGGUAGGGACUCAGGAGCCAGACUGCCAUCUGCAAAAUCCGUCUCUGUGUGAAGGACCACUCUUUUGGAGGAAGCUGGCAGCCAUUUCAUGAGGAGACUCAAGCAGCCUAGGAGAGGUGGCAGUGGUGAAGAACUGAGGCUUCCUGCUGUCAGCUAGUGAGGAACUGAGGCCUCUUCACACACGGAUGUGAGUGAACUACCCAGGAGAUGUGUCCUCCAGCCCCAGGCCUUCAGAGGACCGCAGCUCUCGUCAAAAGCUUAAUGCAACCUCCUGAGAGUCCCUGAACUACAGCCAUCCUGCUAAGCUACUCCCAAAUGCCUGACCCCCAGAAACUGUAAUCAGAAAGUAAACCAAAACCAAGACCCAUCCACAUGGCCGUGAACCACCCC